AACAGCCAAUAAAAGAUGACUACAUCAUAGAGCACUUAUGAUGUUAUGUAACAUCACCAAGGUAGCCAGAAGGAUGAUGAUAAAUAAGGGCAGGGGACUGGAAGAGAAUGUCUAAAUAAGAAAAAAACUAGAUGAGGAAACUGAAGCAAACAUGGUUGAGUGACUUGCCUGGGUCACAUGACAAGGACUAUAUUUUCCCUGUGCAAGGAUUAUGAUACUUUUUAAUUUUCUCUGACAAAAAUGACUCAAAGAAGAGUACAGAAAAUAGAUUUAUUUUCUUCUAAAAUAGAGAAAGGCAAAAAUGAACGAGGGCGCUGUACUCAUAUUUUCUUUGAUUUAGACAAGGAGGAAAAGGAACCAAAUGUUGCUAUUACUGAAAAUGCUGAAGGAGAUGCAGCCCACAAAUAUGGAUGGAUUGAAACUGGACGAGAACCAUCUGAAGUCAAGACAGAAAGCAUCAUAGUCCUUGAGGCAUCAGAGAAAAGGAAGAAAAAUUUUACAGAUUCAGUCACUUUUCAGGAAGAAGUUGGAGAUAUCACAGUUAUGAAAGGAGAAGGAAAAAAUUAUAAAACUGCAACAAUAUCAGGACUCUGGAUCACUAGAGAACUGGAAUUUGUUGUUGUGGAAUUGAAAAAAUUAAUAGAAGAAGAAGAUCUGAAAAGUACAAAAAAACUCCAAGCUAUCUAUGACAAGACUAACAACUUAAAAGACAAACUUACAAAAUGUAUGAAUAUAUCUGAAGUGAAUAUGGAACACCAACCUGAUGAUAAAGACAAAGAAAUAUUUUCACCAGGGCAAAUCAAACAGGAACCUAAUCAGACUGAUCAAAAAUUAUCACCAGAGCAAAUACAACAGAAACCCAAUGAGAUAAAGGAUCAAAUUGUUUUAGAAUGGGGAAAAUUAGAAGACCAACCUGAAAAGAAUGAGAAAGGAGAAUUAUUACUAGGACAAUUUAAAAUAAAGCCUAAAGAGAUAAAAAAUGAAGAUAUAUCACCAGGGCAAUUAUUAGCCCCAGGGGAUUUCAUUUCAGAUAUCAGAAUUGAAAAAAAAGAACAAGGAGAAGAAUCUCUAGUAGAGGAAGAGAUUAGCAGUGACAGACCUACAGAGGAAAAGGCUCCAAGGAGGUUUUCCUGGUUCCGCAACAUCCAAGGAUACAAUUGGCGAAACUUCUUUUAUUUUAAAAGACAUGAUGAACAAAUAAAGAAUGUUUACAAGCAGGAAAAAACUGAUCUAAAAAUAUUGGAUGAUGCCUCUGCUCCUUUUGGUACCCCAAAGCCAUUGGUGUCAGAGUGGACAAUAAACCAAGUUGGUCUUUGGUUAGCAAGCAUUGGAAUGAAAAAAUAUUCCCUGAGAUUUGAUUAUAAUAGAAUAAAUGGCCUAGAACUCCUUGAACUGGAUAACGAUGAGCUAAAAUAUAUUGGUAUUGAGAAGAGAGAAGAUCGGAUGAAAAUACUUUAUGGUAUUAAGAAAAUUCAAAAGACAGAAAAAGAAUUAAUACACUUUAACAAUGAAAUUUAUCGAAAGAAGAGACAACACCUGAAAGAAAUGGCUAAAAGAGAAAAAUGAAGUGUAAAGACUUUGAAGGUUAAGAGGAGAAAGCCAGUUGCUAAGAAGCCAUAAGAAGAGCAAAGAAAAUCCUUGUUAAUAGACUCUAAGUGUCAAAAAACAUGAAAAUUGUAAUCGUUUUAUGUGCUUUCCCAAAUGGCUGUACUGACUCACUGAAUCGCAGUUUCAUCAACAAUGCACCAGUGUGGCUGCUCUCCCACAAUCCCCUCCACUUUAGUUAUCCCCAUAUCUUCCCAGCUUUGGCAAUUGGCUGGAUGUGAAGUAAGACCUCAGUUAUUUUCUUAUUUGAAAAUGGUUUAGAGCAAUUUUUCUUAUGGUUCUUUAUAGUUCAUAAUUAUCUUGGUAGUAUUCAUAUCCUUUGAUAAUUAUUUUUUAGGGCAAAUGUGGCUUUUUGAUUACAAAAAUGUAUUCUUGUUCAUAUAUAUCAUAUAU
ensembl:lncRNA